rnacentral:rRNA from 1 species
UACGGAGGGUGCGAGCGUUGUCCGGAAUCACUGGGCGUAAAGGGCGCGUAGGCGGCCCAUUAAGCGUGUGGUGAAAGUCCAGGGCUCAACCCUGGGAUGCCGGUGGAUACUGUCGGGCUCGAGUCCGGAAGAGGCGAGUGGAAUUCCUGGUGUAGCGGUGAAAUGCGCAGAUAUCAGGAGGAACACCGAUGGCGAAGGCAGCUCGCUGGGACGGUACUGACGCUGAGACGCGAAAGCGUGGGGAGCAAACAGG